GACGAACGCUGGCGGCAUGCCUAACACAUGCAAGUCGAACGGAGAUUAUUUCGGUACUCUUAGUGGCGCACGGGUGAGUAACGCGUGGGCAACCUGCCCUCUAGAUGGGGACAACAUCCCGAAGGGGGUCCAAUAACCGAUGUGGCAGCAAAUUCCGCAUAGGGUUGCGUGGAAGGAGGCCUCCUUUUUUAAACCUAUGCUUAGAGAAGGGCCCUCGUCUGAUUUGCUAGUUGGUGGGGUAACGGCCUACCAAGGCGAUGAUUAGUAGCCGGUCUGAGAGGAUGAACGGCCACAUUGGGACUGAGACACGGCCCAGACUCCUACGGGAGGCAGCAGUGGGGAAUCUUCCGCAAUGGGCGAAAGCCUGACGGAGCAAUGCCGCGUGAGUGAUGAAGGAAUUCGUUCCGUAAAGCUCUUUUGUUUAUGACGAAUGUGCAGAUUGUGAACAAUGAUCUGUAAUGACGGUAGUAAACGAAUAAGCCACGGCUAACUACGUG
rnacentral:rRNA from 1 species